CCUACGGGUGGCAGCAGUGAGGAAUAUUGGUCAAUGGCCGGAAGUCUGAACCAGCCAAGCCGCGUGAAGGACGAAGGUGCCAAGCAUUGUAAACUUCUUUUGUCAAGGGACAAAAUCAGGCUCGAGAGCCUGACCGCGGGUACUUGAAGAAACAGCAUCGGCUGACUCCGUGCCAGCAGCCGCGGUAAUACGGAGGAUGCGAGCGUUUUCCGGAUUUAUUGGGUUUAAGGGGUGCGUAGGCGGAACGUUAAGUCAGCGGUAAGAGCACGGGGCUCAACCCCGGCGAGCCGUUGAAACGGGCGGUCUGGGAAUGGCGUGAGGUAUGCGGAAUGCGCAGUGUAGCGGUGAAAUGCUUAG
rnacentral:rRNA from 1 species